AGCAUGUGGUUUAAUUCGAAGCAACGCGCAGAACCUUACCAGCCCUUGACAUGUCCGGCACACUCCAGAGAUGGGGUUUCCCUUCGGGGACCGGAGCACAGGUGCUGCAUGGCUGUCGUCAGCUCGUGUCGUGAGAUGUUGGGUUAAGUCCCGCAACGAGCGCAACCCUGCCCUUAGUUGCCAGCAUUCAGUUGGGCACUCUAGGGGACUGCCGGUGAUAAGCCGAGAGGAAGGUGGGGAUGACGUCAAGUCCUCAUGGCCCUUACGGGCUGGGCUACACACGUGCUACAAUGGCGGUGACAAUGGGCAGCGAAGGGGCGACCGGAGCUAAUCUUGAAAAACCGUCUCAGUUCGGAUUGUUCUCUGCAACUCGAGAGCAUGAAGUUGGAAUCGCUAGUAAUCGCGUAACAGCAUGACGCGGUGAAUACCGUUCCCGGGCCUU
rnacentral:rRNA from 1 species